rnacentral:rRNA from 1 species
GAAGGUGGCCUGUGAGGGUUGCUGGAGGUAUCAGAAGUGCGAAUGCUGACAUAAGUAACGAUAAAGCGGGUGAAAAGCCCGCUCGCCGGAAGACCAAGGGUUCCUGUCCAACGUUAAUCGGGGCAGGGUGAGUCGACCCCUAAGGCGAGGCCGAAAGGCGUAGUCGAUGGGAAACGGGUUAAUAUUCCCGUACUUGGUGUUACUGCGAAGGGGGGACGGAGAAGGCUAUGUUGGCCGGGCGACGGUUGUCCCGGUUUAAGCGUGUAGGUGUGUGUUCCAGGUAAAUCCGGUUCACUUUAACACUGAGGCGUGAUGACGAGGC